UACGUAGGGGGCAAGCGUUGUCCGGAAUCAUUGGGCGUAAAGAGCGUGUAGGCGGCCCGAUAAGUCCGCUGUGAAAGUCCAGGGCUCAACCCUGGAAUGCCAGUGGAAACUGUCGGGCUGGAGUCCGGAAGAGGCGAGUGGAAUUCCUGGUGUAGCGGUGAAAUGCGCAGAUAUCAGGAGGAACACCAAUGGCGAAGGCAGCUCGCUGGGACGGUACUGACGCUGAGAAGCGAAAGCAUGGGGAGCGAACAGG
rnacentral:rRNA from 1 species